rnacentral:rRNA from 1 species
AGGACGAACGCUGGCGGCGUGCCUAACACAUGCAAGUCGAACGGGACCAGGGGCAACUCUGGUUCAGUGGCGGACGGGUGCGUAACACGUGAGGAACAUGACUUUCGGCGGGGGAUAGCCGGCCCAACGGCCGGGUAAUACCGCGUACGACCUUUUGGGGACAUCCCUGAUUGGUGAAAGCAGCAAUGCGCCGAAAGAGUGCCUCGCGGCCUAUCAGCUAGUUGGUGGGGUAAUGGCUCACCAAGGCGACGACGGGUAGC